CGCAGAGCCACCGCCACCUGGUGUCCACCACAGAGCCGCCUCCACCUGGUGUCCACCAGCGCAGAGCCGUCGCCACCUGGUGUCCACCACAGAGCUGCCAGCUUGUAAACAAUGAUGAUAAAAUUAUAAAUAACAAAAUCAAAAUACGAAAUAAUAAUUUCAUGAUUAAUAAUUGUGUUGGUAUAAUAACAAGACGAUUUAUUGUUCAAUGUAGAUUUUUGUUAAAUAACUUUUUUUUUGUAAAAUAAAUAAGAAUUUGUGUACUUGGAA